rnacentral:lncRNA from 1 species
GGGGUUCAAGUUUGAUUUCAAUCUGGUUUUUUCGAGGUCCUGUUGAAAUAUUCUGAAUGUUAUAUUGGCUAUGGGCAGAAGACUGUGAGCUACCAGAUGAAUGAAUGGUUGGUGGUUGUGAAGUAGUAGGUGAACUGAUUGGCAUGUAGACAUGAGAGGUCUGGUGGCCUUGCUGAUUUGGCUGUUGAGAUGAGGUAUGUGACAGAGGAUUAGAUGCAGGACAAGUAGUCCAGGGACCAGGCUGUGAAGGCUGAUAAACUUGCUGAGGGUUCAUGGGAUUAAACUGAGAUACCCAGCCAGAAUGCUGUUGUGUCUGUCGAGUUGUACCACCAGGAGUUGUAAUGUAAGGCCUAAUAUAGAUAGAAUUUCCCUGUGGACUGUUAAGUACAGGUGGAGGUACACCAUGUAUGUGCAAAGAUGUAGGAGUAUUACGACCAGUCUGGAUAUUUGGGGCUAAAGUUACCAUAAUGGGAUUAAAUCUGGGAGUUUGUUGAGAAAGGCUAGAUGUUCCUUUGCUGCCUAAGUGAAAUCCAAGAUGUGGUGCUGAAUUUGAAGCACCAGAGGAACUGGACAUUCCAAAAACAUUAAAGCCUUGAGGAACUUGAGCUGGUGCUGUCUGUGGCUCCUGCUGAAAUAGUUCACUAUUGGACUGGCCACCUUGAAGUUGUCCAUCACUAAUGCUGUGCGUUAGAGUCCUACUUCCAUUCAUCCUACUUCCUUCUCUUCCAUGGUGGUAAAUGUUCUGUGAUUGCAAGUCCAAGUUGAGAGAAGUCAUGUGAUUGCGUAGACCAGAAAUUCCAGAAUCAUCUGAAAAAUUCAAGUCUCCUUCACCAUAAAGAUAUCUUGUACUCUCCUGAGAGAGAACAGCACAGCAGGCAUCCAGGUUAUUAUUAUUCUCUGUAACAUGCACCUGGAUACAACAACUUCAGGUACUUCAGGGAAUUUUUGUCGCAGGUCAUGUAAAACCUGAAAAUCAAUUUGGUGGCUUCCUUGGGCCAUUCGUAUAUUGCCUGAUCAGGACUAUUUGUACAGUAGGCAAUUCUAGGCCUUAGUGGAAAUAGUACUCAUCUCUUCUGUCCAAGCAUUUUCUGUGAAAG